CAGCGCCGCGGUAAUACGGAGGGUGCAAGCGUUAAUCGGAAUUACUGGGCGUAAAGCGCACGCAGGCGGUCUGACAAGUCAGAUGUGAAAUCCCCGGGCUUAACCUGGGAACUGCAUUUGAAACUGUCAGGCUGGAGUCUUGUAGAGGGGGGUGGAAUUCCAGGUGUAGCGGUGAAAUGCGUAGAGAUCUGGAGGAAUACCGGUGGCGAAGGCGACCACCUGGACUGAUACUGACACUGAGGUGCGAAAGCGUGGGGAGCAAACAGGAUUAGAUACCCCUGUAGUCCCUGUCUCUUAUACA
rnacentral:rRNA from 1 species